GCAAGUGUGGCCGAGUGGUUAAGGCGCUGUGUUUAGGCCACAGUUCUAACGAGCGUGAGUUCGAAUCUCACCGCUUGCA
rnacentral:tRNA from 2 species